rnacentral:rRNA from 1 species
UAGGGAAUCUUCGGCAAUGGACGAAAGUCUGACCGAGCAACGCCGCGUGAGUGAAGAAGGUUUUCGGAUCGUAAAACUCUGUUGUUAGAGAAGAACAAGGACGUUAGUAACUGAACGUCCCCUGACGGUAUCUAACCAGAAAGCCACGGCUAACUACGUGCCAGCAGCCGCGGUAAUACGUAGGUGGCAAGCGUUGUCCGGAUUUAUUGGGCGUAAAGCGAGCGCAGGCGGUUUCUUAAGUCUGAUGUGAAAGCCCCCGGCUCAACCGGGGAGGGUCAUUGGAAACUGGGGGACUUGAGUGCAGAAGAGGAGAGUGAAAUUCCAUGUGUAGCGGUGAAAUGCGUAGAUAUAUGGAGGAACACAAGUGGCGAAGGCGGCUCUCUGGUCUGUAACUGACGCUGAGGCUCGAAAGCGUGGGGAGCAAACAGG